AACGAACGCUGGCGGCAUGCCUAACACAUGCAAGUCGAACGAGACCUUCGGGUCUAGUGGCGCACGGGUGCGUAACGCGUGGGAACCUGCCCUUAGGUUCGGAAUAACUCCCCGGAAGGGGUGCUAAUACCGGAUAAUGUCUUCGGACCAAAGAUUUAUCGCCUUUGGAUGGGCCCGCGUUGGAUUAGCGAGUUGGUAGGGUAAAAGCCUACCAAGGCGACGAGCCAUAGCUGGUCUGAGAGGAUGAUCAGCCACACUGGGACUGAGACACGGCCCAGACUCCUACGGGAGGCAGCAGUGGGGAAUAUUGGACAAUGGGCGAAAGCCUGAUCCAGCAAUGCCGCGUGAGUGAUGAAGGCCUUAGGGUUGUAAAGCUCUUUUACCCGGGAUGAUAAUGACAGUACCGGGAGAAUAAGCACCGGCUAACUCCGUG
rnacentral:rRNA from 1 species